rnacentral:rRNA from 1 species
AGAACGAACGCUGGCGGCGCGUUUAAGCAUGCAAGUCGAGCGGCAAGGGCCUUCGGGCCCCUAGAGCGGCGGACGGGUGAGUAACACGUGGACCAAUCCUGCCCCCCGGCCCGGGAUAGCCCAGGGAAACCUGGAUUAAUACCGGAUGAGACGGGACCCGCGAUGGCGGGACCCGGAAAGGCGCUGCGGCGCCGCCGGGGGAUGAGUCUGCGUCCCAUUAACUGACGGCGGGGUAACGGCCCACCGUGGCGACGAUGGGUAGCCGGCCUGAGAGGGUGGACGGCCACAUUGGAACUGAGACACGGUCCAGACUCCUACGGGAGGCAGCAGCUAAGAAUCUUCCGCAAUGGGCGAAAGCCUGACGGAGCGACGCCGCGUGAACGAAGAAGGCCGUGAGGUUGUAAAGUUCUUUUCGGGAGGGGGAACAACCGUGGCAGGGAAUGGCCGCGGGAUGACGUGAAUCCCGGAAUAAGCCCCGGCUAACUACGUGCCAGCAGCUGC